AACGUAGGACACAAGCGUUAUCCGGAGUUACUGGGCGUAAAGGGCGUGUAGGCGGACCUAUAAGUCUAUUCUGAAAGCUCCUGGCUAAACUGGGAGAGGCGAAUGGAGACUGUAGAUCUAGAGUGAGGAAGAGGAAAGUGGAAUUCCGCGUGUAGUGGUGAAAUGCGUAGAGAUGCGGAGGAACACCAGUGGCGAAAGCGACUUUCUGGUCCUUAACUGACGCUGAGGCGCGAAAGCAUGGGGAGCGAACGGGG
rnacentral:rRNA from 1 species